CAGGCCUAACACAUGCAAGUCGAACGGAGCCGCAAGGCUUAGUGGCAAACGGGUGCGUAACGCGUAAGCAACCUGCCCUCAACUGGGGGAUAGCCCGGCGAAAGCUGGGGUAAACCCGCACGGUCCAGUGAUCUCACCUGGGGUUAUUGGUAAACAUUUAUGGGUUGAGGAGGGGCUUGCGUCUGAUUAGCUAGUUGGCGGGGUAAGGGCCCACCAAGGCGAUGAUCAGUAGGGGUUCUGAGAGGAUUGGCCCCCACAUGGGUACUGAGAUACGGACCCAACUCCUACGGGAGGCAGCAGUAGGGAAUAUUGGGCAAUGGGCGAGAGCCUGACCCAGCCAUGCCGCGUGCCGGAUGAAGGCGCUCAGCGUUGUAAACGGCUUUUGACUGGGAAGAACAGCAGGUUUGCGAA
rnacentral:rRNA from 1 species